CGCGGUAAUACGUAGGUGGCAAGCGUUAUCCGGAAUUAUUGGGCGUAAAGCGCGCGUAGGCGGUUUUUUAAGUCUGAUGUGAAAGCCCACGGCUCAACCGUGGAGGGUCAUUGGAAACUGGAAAACUUGAGUGCAGAAGAGGAAAGUGGAAUUCCAUGUGUAGCGGUGAAAUGCGCAGAGAUAUGGAGGAACACCAGUGGCGAAGGCGACUUUCUGGUCUGUAACUGACGCUGAUGUGCGAAAGCGUGGGGAUCAAACAGGAUUAGAUACCCUGGUAGUCCACGCCGUAAACGAUGAGUGCUAAGUGUUAGGGGGUUUCCGCCCCUUAGUGCUGCAGCUAACGCAUUAAGCACUCCGCCUGGGGAGUACGACCGCAAGGUUGAAACUCAAAGGAAUUGACGGGGACCCGCACAAGCGGUGG
rnacentral:rRNA from 1 species